rnacentral:lncRNA from 1 species
AAAAUUUUAAAUGAAACUUUUCUGAUGUGUAUAUUACUAUAUAUUGUAAUUAGAAUAUUCAAGUUGGGUUGAAAACUUAACAUAUGAGUAUUUUUGCAAUGUAACAACAGUUGAACACCAAAACAAAGACCAAUUAAUCAAAAUAUCUUUAUUUCUGCAACCAUCUGUAAAAAAUGCAUUUUAAGAUAUUUAUUCCCUUCUUCAGUUUGCUUUCAUCCAUAUAAAUCUGUACAUAGUAAAAUUCAUGAAGAUUACAAUAAAAAUUACAUAACCAUAAAAAAAGGAGUGUGCAUACUGCUGAAAAUUAAAGGUUUAUAAAUUGGUGAUGAUGAAAUAACAAUAGAACUUCUAUUAUUAUAGUGGUUCAUUUUUCAGCAUCAUAAUGUUGUUUAUAUGUACAAAUAACAGAUAAUAAAUUGUAUAAUGCUUCCUUUGAGUAAAUGGCCCAGGUGGCCCUUGUGCCAGUACCUACUACAACUAACUAACUAACCUUUGAGUAAAUAAAAAUGACUGAAAUGUAAUACAGUAUAUAACCAGAAAGUUUGCCUGCUGAACAUUGUAUACAUUCUAUAUUGUUUAUUAAUUUAUAAACAUUAUGAACAUGCUGUUCAUAAUGUUUAUAACAAAAAUCUGGAUUGAAUGAGGAAAACUAGUGGUAAUCUAGAGACAACUAGUAGUUACCUACAAUUUACUUUUGACAUAGCAUCCCAGGGGCUUGCACAUAACACCUGCAUCUAUGUAUAUUUGAAGAGAAAACUGUUGUAUAAUAAAUGGUGUCCCAGUGGCAUUAGUUUCUGGGAUGGCAGGCUGAUUAUGAGCCAAAAUUACAUGGAUAUAUGCAUCACAUUGAUAGUUUCUUGCUGCUUUGUUGCUGGAGAUACUAUAUGCAGACAUCCCAAAGAUAAUAUAAAAGCAAGGAAAAAAAUAUUUAGAUUCUAGCAGGGCAUACCCCAAUAAUGAUUAGUGAGAGGAUGUUAAUGACAAAUUUGCCAACUGACUUUCAACUAAAUAAAAUUUGCCAAUAACUAUUGAUUUUCACUUGAAAAUAUAAAAAUUUAUUAUAUGAUGAU